GACCACUACGGUGGCCUAGUGGUUAGAGCGUCCGUCUCUGAUGCGGGAAGCCGUGGGUUCGAUCGAUCCCCGGCCUAGUCA